rnacentral:rRNA from 1 species
GACGAACGCUGGCGGCGUGCUUAACACAUGCAAGUCGAACGGAAAGGCCCUGCUUUUGUGGGGUGCUCGAGUGGCGAACGGGUGAGUAACACGUGAGUAACCUGCCCUUGACUUUGGGAUAACUUCAGGAAACUGGGGCUAAUACCGGAUAGGAGCUCCUGCUGCAUGGUGGGGGUUGGAAAGUUUCGGCGGUUGGGGAUGGACUCGCGGCUUAUCAGCUUGUUGGUGGGGUAGUGGCUUACCAAGGCUUUGACGGGUAGCCGGCCUGAGAGGGUGACCGGCCACAUUGGGACUGAGAUACGGCCCAGACUCCUACGGGAGGCAGCAGUGGGGAAUAUUGCACAAUGGGCGGAAGCCUGAUGCAGCAACGCCGCGUGCGGGAUGACGGCCUUCGGGUUGUAAACCGCUUUCGCCUGUGACGAAGCGUGAGUGACGGUAAUGGGUAAAGAAGCACCGGCUAACUACGUGCCAGCAGCCGCGGUGAUACGUAGGGUGCGAGCGUUGUCCGGAUUUAUUGGGCGUAAAGGGCUCGUAGGUGGUUGAUCGCGUCGGAAGUGUAAUCUUGGGGCUUAACCCUGAGCGUGCUUUCGAUACGGGUUGACUUGAGGAAGGUAGGGGAGAAUGGAAUUCCUGGUGGAGCGGUGGAAUGCGCAAAUAUCAGGAGGAACACCAGUGGCGAAGGCGGUUCUCUGGGCCUUUCCUGACGCUGAGGAGCGAAAGCGUGGGGAGCGAACAGGCUUAGAUACCCUGGUAGUCCACGCUGUAAACGGUGGGUACUAGGUGUGGGGUCCAUUCCACGGGUUCCGUGCCGUAGCUAACGCUUUAAGUACCCCGCCUGGGGAGUACGGCCGCAAGGCUAAAACUCAAAGGAAUUGACGGGGCCCCGCACAAGCGGCGGAGCAUGCGGAUUAAUUCGAUGCAACGCGUAGAACCUUACCUGGGUUUGACAUGGAUCGGGAGCGCUCAGAGAUGGGUGUGCCUCUUUUGGGGUCGGUUCACAGGUGGUGCAUGGCUGUCGUCAGCUCGUGUCGUGAGAUGUUGGGUUAAGUCCCGCAACGAGCGCAACCCUUGUUCACUGUUGCCAGCACGUUAUGGUGGGGACUCAGUGGAGACCGCCGGGGUCAACUCGGAGGAAGGUGGGGAUGGCGUCAAGUCAUCAUGCCCCUUAUGUCCAGGGCUUCACGCAUGCUACAAUGGCUGGUACAGAGAGUGGCGAGCCUGUGAGGGUGAGCGAAUCUCGGAAAGCCGGUCUCAGUUCGGAUUGGGGUCUGCAACUCGACCUCAUGAAGUCGGAGUCGCUAGUAAUCGCAGAUCAGCAACGCUGCGGUGAAUACGUUCCCGGGGCU